rnacentral:rRNA from 1 species
AUUGAACGCUGGCGGCAGGCCUAGCACAUGAAAGUCGAACGAGUGGCGGACGGGUGAGUAAUGUCUGGGAAAAUGCCUGAUGGAGGGGGAUAACUACUGGAAACGGUAGCUAAUACCGCAUACCAUCGGAUGUGCCCAGAUGGUAUUAGCUAGUAGGUGGGGUAAAGGCUCACCUAGGCGACGAUCCCUAGCUGGUUUGAGAGGAUGACCAGCGACAUCGGAACUGAGACACGGUCCAGACUCUUCCGGGAGGCAUCAGUGGUGAAUAUGGCACAAUGGGCGCAAGCCUGAUGCAGCCAUGGCGCGUGUAUGAAGAAGGCCUUCGGGUUGUAAAGUACUUUCAGCGGGGAGGCGUUACCCGCAGAAGAAGCACCUGCUAACUCCGUGCCAGCAGCCGCGGUAAUUC